rnacentral:rRNA from 1 species
AUGGCAGGCCUCGACCUUGGCACCGCCGCGACGCGCUACGUGCACCAGUUCCACCACCUCCACCCGGACCUCCAGCUGCAGCAGAACAGCUACGCCAAGCAGCAGCACGAGCCCGCCGACGAUGACCACAACGGCAACGGCAACGGCGGCAACUACGGAGCCCAGUACGGCGAGAACAACGACGGCGGCUCCUCCUCCUCCGGCCCCGCCGGUGAUGGCGCGGGUGGCGGCGGCGGGGGCGGGCCUGGGGACAUGGUGGCGCGCCGGCCACGGGGGCGCCCCCCGGGCUCGAAGAACAAGCCCAAGCCGCCGGUGAUCAUCACGCGGGAGAGCGCCAACACGCUGCGCGCCCACAUCCUGGAGGUCGGCAGCGGCUGCGACGUGUUUGAGUGCAUCUCCACGUACGCGUGCCGGCGGCAGCGCGGCGUGUGCGUGCUGAGCGGCAGCGGCAUCGUGACCAACGUGACGCUGCGGCAGCCGUCGGCCCCCGCGGGCGCCGUCGUGACCCUGCACGGCAGGUUCGAGAUCCUGUCGCUCUCGGGCUCCUUCCUGCCCCCGCCGGCUCCCCCUGGAGCCACCAGCCUCACCAUAUUCCUCGCCGGGGGGCAGGGGCAGGUCGUCGGCGGCAACGUCGUGGGCGCGCUCUACGCCGCGGGCCCGGUCAUCGUCAUCGCGGCGUCCUUCGCUAACGUCGCCUACGAGCGCCUCCCGCUGGAGGACGAGGAGGCGCCGCCUGCAACGGCAGGCAUGCAGAUGCAGCAGCCCGGCGACGCCGACGCCGCGGCCGCCAUGGGCGGCGUCCCGUUCCCUCCCGACCCGUCGGCUGCCGGCCUGCCCUUCUUCAACCAGCUGCCUCUCAACAACAUGACCGGCGGUCCCGGCUCGCAGCUCCCUCCCGGUGCCGACGGCCACGGCUGGGCCGGCGGACGGCCACAGUUCUGA